rnacentral:rRNA from 1 species
CUAACCUAUUAACCGCAGGCCCAGCCCAUAUUGCCGUUUUAUUGCCUGUUUCAGUAUUUCGAAGAAAAGGAAUAUCAAACGGAGUCCAAACGGAAUGAAACCUUCGGCAACGUGAUUUUUUUGGAAGAAUAUCAUCCUGGAGACGUGGAGUUCAAGUCAGAAGAUACUCGAGGACUCCACAAGAUAGGAGGGCGCCCCCCCCCCC